rnacentral:misc_RNA from 1 species
GAUGAAGAACGUAGCGAAAUGCGAUACGUAAUGUGAAUUGCAGAAUUCAGUGAAUCAUCGAAUCUUUGAACGCACAUUGCGCCCACUGGUAUUCCGGUGGGCAUGCCUGUUCGAGCGUCAUUAUCCUCCCUCAAACCCCGGGUUUGGUGUUGGACCCAAGUUGUGUGAACAACUGGUCUCAAAGACAAUGACGGCGUCCGUGGGACCCUCGGUGCAACGAGCUUUUAGGAGCACGCAUCGAGUUGCAAGGACCUUCCGGGCCGGUCUCCUUUACCAUUUUACAAGGUUGACCUCGGAUCAGGUAGGAAUACCCGCUGAACUUAAGCAUAUCAAUAAGCGGAGGA